AACGAACGCUGGCGGCAUGCCUAACACAUGCAAGUCGAACGAGACCUUCGGGUCUAGUGGCGCACGGGUGCGUAAAGCGUGGGAAUCUGCCCUUGGGUUCGGCAUAACAGUUGGAAACGACUGCUAAUACCGGAUGAUGACGUAAGUCCAAAGAUUUAUCGCCCAAGGAUGAGCCCGCGUAGGAUUAGCUAGUUGGUGAGGUAAAGGCUCACCAAGGCGACGAUCCUUAGCUGGUCUGAGAGGAUGAUCAGCCACACUGGGACUGAGACACGGCCCAGACUCGUACGGGAGGCAGCAGUGGGGAAUAUUGGAGAAUGGGCGGAAGGCUGAACCAGCUAUGUCGGGUGAGUGAUGAAGGCCUUAGGGUUGUAAAGCUCUUUUACCCGGGAUGAUAAUGACGGUACCGGGAGAAUAAGCGCCGGCUAACUCCGUG
rnacentral:rRNA from 1 species